UAAUAGUGUAUAUUAAAGUUGUUGCAGUUAAAAAGCUCGUAGUUGAAUGUUGGUGUCGAACGAGCGGUCAGCUUCGGUUGUACUGCUCUCUCGACUCCUUCCUUCUGUGGACUACGUCGCACUUUACUGUGUGGCGCUAGGACGCAGAUCGUUUACUGUGAAAAAAUUAGAGUGUUCAAAGCAGGCCAAUGCGCUUGAAUACAUUAGCAUGGAAUAAUGGAAUAGGACUUUGGUUCUAUUUUGUUGGUUUCUAGGACCGAAGUAAUGAUUAAUAGGGACAGUUGGGGGCAUUCGUAUUUAGUUGUCAGAGGUGAAAUUCUUGGAUUUACGAAAGACGAACAUCUGCGAAAGCAUUUGCCAAGGAUGUUUNCAUUGA
rnacentral:rRNA from 1 species